rnacentral:lncRNA from 1 species
GCCGACAACCCGACCCGGAUCCCGAGCUGCGUCGCGGACAAUGCCGCGGGCCCGUCCCGGACUACGACUCCCGACGGGCUCUGCGACCGCUCCGGGGCGGCCCAGCGUGCACUGCACCGGCCAGUUUGACAGCCGGGCGCCCUACUCGGCUAGCUCUGCUCCCAGCCAGGGACGCUGGCCUUCUCGCGGCUUUCCCCCAAUGUCUCUCUUUAUUCCAGCUGCCUGAAACUCGGUCCCACGAAUGGCAGGCAGCGUCCAAAAUUCAACCCCGUAAAGCCAGCACCAGCCAAUAAAGCGCACGGAUGGAGACCACGUGACAGCAGUGGGCCGGCCCUCCGGCUGAGCCCUGAUCUCUAUGGUUUCCGAGGCUCGCUAGAAGGAGUGUGGUCCACUGGAGGACUCCCUACAUUCUUCCUCCAUUACCUCACUGCCUCCGGUGGCUGCUGGGAUACCGGAGGACUCGGGUCCCGGCUCGACUCAGUCCUCCAGCCGCCCGGGGAAUACCUCUAGUUCUGCUUCUCUCGGGAGCCCCCACCCAGGCGCAUGGCUCCAUGAAGCAAGAGGAGGAGGCAGAGCGCGAGAGGUCCCGUCCGCCCCAGCCGCGUCUGGGCCAGGAGAAAAG